AUCUUUGUUUAUAUGUCCAUAUUGACACGAUACUUGUACAGAAUUACGAGAAAAUUGACCAAAAAGGGGUGUAUUGUUUUACCAGAUUCAAAUAAUUUUCCAAACUCAGAAACAUGGAGAGGAAUUUCUUAUUAACAAUAAUCGUGGGAUGUGUCAUAGCAUCGUUUAGCAAUGCCGUGCGUAAUGUUGGAAAAAUUCCGUUGAAUUCAGCAGCAUUCGCGAACCUUUAUGAGAAUCCAAAUGCACAGUCUCCGAGUGAAAAAUAUGACUUGCUUUUAUCAACAUUCUCCGGAAAUCCUUUCACCUCAGGUACGGUCAAUCUUUACCGAGGAAUCGGACAGCAAAUUAAAAACAUCGGGAGUGUUCGGAAGGAAGUUCUUGCCAAUAGAAUGUCCUGGCCAAAUGAAGUAGCUGGUGUUCCAGGUUUGUUUCGCAUAUAUGCUUUUAUUGAAACUUUGGACGUCGCUGAAGUGGUUAUUCUCUCCUCUCGCUGAAAACAUUGCAUGCUUACAAACCUUUAUGAUCAUCUUCAGUUAUAUUAAUUUUUUUAGGAAAUUUGAAAAAAAAUGUAUAAUAAUAUUUUGCAAAAAAAAAUAUCACUACAUCAAAGUUGUUAUUAUAACCUUUAUUUCCUUAUUAUAAUCAAAGAUUGCAAAGCUACUCGGAGUAAACGCUUACAUGUAUCUUUUUACGCGAUUUUAAUUUUUGUUUGACGCCAACAAUUGGGAUCUGUCAUUUUUGCUUUGUUACCCCAUGCUGAUAAAUCAUGUUACUAAAUUGCUAUGACACAAUUAACAAAAUAAUUAUCUUUUUACAAAUAAAUGCUUUCUUAAUUUCUUUUAGCAUAUAUAUCUGACAUAUUUUAAAUAUUUGAAUUAGACUAUUGACUGCAAUAACAGAAAACAUCUUUGAAAAGAACGUGGUUUAUACAUUUUCUCUUGAUGUUCUCUCAUAGCUUAUAUGAGUUAUGAUUUGUAAUUAGAGUUUCGAUAAAAAAUACAAAUUAUAUACAUUUUAUAUAGAAAGCGUCUUUGGAAAGCGCAUGGUGGCCAUUCCAGACGGUUUCCUUGUACCGUUCAAAGACGACGGGUACAUUUACCUGGUGGAUAUCUCUGGGAGCACCCCUCAGGGGCCGUACAAACUGACUGACCACACGGAGGGUAAGUGGUUCUACCACCGCGUGGUGUGGAAGGACAUGGACGGGGACGGGGAUCUAGACAUACUCACCUGCCGGGCCAGGGAACCAGUCUUCUCCAUCUUCUCCACGAAAGACACGGAGCUACUCUGGCUAGAAAAUCCUGACACGCACCAAUACAGAUCACCAUGGAAACAACACGUCAUUACUCACGGACCCGACGUCUACUUCAGGAAUCUGAAAGUAAAUACGACUGAUGGAGUAUAUGACGUCAUCGUCACGACGGAAUUUUUUGCAAAAAAGCUGAGCGUUCAUUGGACGACUGACAUUAUGAACAGAUGGAACGACUUAUCAAAGGUACAUUCUAGAACAGUAGAUACUACAGCCGGGGCUCUGUUUGACGUAGAAAUCAAUGACGUCAAUGGUGAUGGACGAGAGGAUCUCCUCGUGGUAUCCAAUGGCAUGAACGGAAGUGUACUGGUUUACGAAAUUCCAAGCGAUUUCCGAACAGACAACUUUCCGAGACACACGAUAGCGACGAACUUUGUCCCUCGGUCGACGGGUCAAGGAAAGGGGGCCCCAGGGUCAGCGUUCUGUAUCCGAUCUCGGUCCUCCGACAGAAGUUCUCGUCCCAUGAUCCUUGUGUCUGGAGACGACGAUGGACGGGCCUACUUCCUGGAACCCAACAGUAACUCGACCCAGGACUGGUCCUACACCAAAAACGUGUUUCACGACGCCGGAAGCGGAACUGUAGGACAAAUUGCGUACGCAGACGUCGACGGAGACGAUUUUGUUGACCUCUUUGUUCCUAACUUUAAUCUGAAUGAUAUAUCAAUUUAUACAUUUGCGCCUUCUGAACAAAUUCCCUUUGGUUAUUAGAACCACUCUGUGAUGUAACGUUUCGUAAGAAUUUUAUUUUGGUGUCAUUCCAUGUUUAGUGUCCAGUACUUGUGCUGAUAAGAAACAUCGUGAUAGUCAAAUUCCUCAGUACAUGUAUGAGGAAAAUCCAACUUGUUAAACAUUACAUGAACUCAUUUUAUGUUAUUGUUUUAAAUACAUGUUACUUAUAAAUAUAUUUUGUACAAUAUGUAUGGUGUGAACUUAUUUGUUUAACCCAAUUAAAACAUGUGCAACUUCU
rnacentral:misc_RNA from 1 species